rnacentral:pre_miRNA from 1 species
AUACUACUCCCUUCAUUCAGAAAUACUUGUCAAAGCAAUGGAUGUAUCUAGAUAUAUUUUAGUUUUAGAUAUGUCCACUUUUAUCCAUUUCCGCGACAAGUAAUUCCGGACGGAGUGAGUACAAU